AUUGAACGCUGGCGGCAGGCUUAACACAUGCAAGUCGAGCGGAGAGAGGUAGCUUGCUACUGAUCUUAGCGGCGGACGGGUGAGUAAUGCUUAGGAAUCUGCCUAUUAGUGGGGGACAACAUCUCGAAAGGAAUGCUACUACCGCAUACGCCCUACGGGAGAAAGCAGGGGAUCUUCGGACCUUGCGCUAAUAGAUGAGCCUAAGUCGGAUUAGCUAGUUGGUGGGGUAAAGGCCUACCAAGGCGACGAUCUGUAGCGGGUCUGAGAGGAUGAUCCGCCACACUGGGACUGAGGGACGGCCCAGACUCCUACGGGAGGCAGCAGUGGGGAAUAUUGGACAAUGGGCGCAAGCCUGAUCCAGCCAUGCCGCGUGUGUGAAGAAGGCCUUAUGGUUGUAAAGCACUUUAAGCGAGGAGGAGGCUACUUUAGUUAAUACCUAGAGAUAGUGGACGUUGCUCGCAGAAUAAGCACCGGCUAACUCUGUGCCAGCCGCCGCGGUAAAAC
rnacentral:rRNA from 1 species